GAUGAACGCUGGCGGCGUGCCUAACACAUGCAAGUCGAGCGGCAGCGAGGGGUGCUUGCACCCUGUCGGCGAGCGGCGGACGGCUGAGUAACGCGUGGGAACGUGCCCCAAAGUGAGGAAUAACUGCCCGAAAGGGUAGCUAAUACCGCAUAUUAUCUUCGGAUCAAAGGAUUUAUCCGCUUUGGGAGCGGCUCGCGUCGGAUUAGGUAGUUGGUGAGGUAAUGGCUCACCAAGCCGACGAUCCGUAGCUGGUCUGAGAGGAUGACCAGCCAGACUGGAACUGAGACGCGGUCCAGACUCCUACGGGAGGCAGCAGUGAGGAAUCUUCCACAAUGGGCGAAAGCCUGAUGGAGCAACGCCGCGUGCAGGACGAAGGCCUUCGGGUUGUAAACUGCUUUUAUAAGUGAGGAAUAUGACGGUAACUUAUGAAUAAGGAUCGGCUAACUACGUG
rnacentral:rRNA from 1 species